UACGUAGGGGGGCGAGCGUUGUCCGGAGUUACUGGGCGUAAAGCGCCCGCAGGCGGUCGGUCGCGUUUGAGGUCACAGCUCCUGGCUUAACUGGGAGAGCGUCUCAAAAGACGGGCUGACUUGAGGACCAGAGAGGGACACGGAAUUCCGGGUGGAGUGGUGAAAUGCGUAGAUAUCCGGAGGAACACCGAAGGCGAAGGCAGUGUCCUGGCUGGUCCCUGACGCUGAGGGGCGAAAGCUAGGGGGAGCGAACGGG
rnacentral:rRNA from 1 species